GUGAUGACUCCACAGAUACCCCCCAUGUCUCUGAACCGAAGAAAGGUGACCGGUCACCAACGGUGAAGAAUCUCCUCCAAAAGGCCAAGAUGAGAGAGCGGUCUCAAGAUAAGAAACUCCAGAAAGUGAUAAAGGAGAGGGAUGCUCUUCGCAAACAACUGGCAUGUAAGGUUCAACAAGCCUACAUUUUCGGUGUAUGACACAAAAAUGUAUACAGUGUCAGUCAAACAUAUACCUAUUCCAAGUAGGAGGUUAAGUGGUACACCUGGUUAGUUAAGUUAGAGGAAGUGGUAAACCUCCUUAUAGUAGCCUGCUGGCUUUCUGUAGUUAAGAGAAUGGAGACUCCAGACUCUUCUAUUAUCAUAUUUACCACUACCUCUAGCUUUACUUACCCUGGUUCGACACUUAACCACCUAAUAGUAACCACCUAAUAGUAACACAUCCCAGGUCUAGGGUUAUUUUGACUUUACACAAAAUAUUACCUUUGUUGGAACAAAAAGGAAGAAAUGGUAUUCUGUAUAAGGCAUCAGCAAUAUCUGUUUAAUCUUUGUUUUUUUGUACUGUCUAGACCUGUCUAAAGCUCCCAGAGAAGAACAAUCUUCAGAGGAAGACACUGCCUCCUGCUCAUCAUUGUCUUCAAUGAGCCGGUCCUCCUCCUGUUCUUCCUCCUCCUCCUCAGAUGAGAAGAUGAAACGAAAGGGCAAGGGAAAACUCAGACUUUCAAAGACAAAGAACAAAAUAAAGAAGGCCAGGAAGCACCACAAAGUGACUGAUGUCCGCAAAAGAGGUAAAACUCCAGUAAAACGUUGAAUCUAUCCUUUAUGGAGCAAAUUCAUUUUCCACCUCCCCUUGUCUUCAACAUUUGAGAUUGACCUUUCUCCAGGUCAUUCAGCCUUUCUCUGAGUUUGACCAGAGAGGUUAAAAGUGAAGCGAGAAGCACAAAUGUCUGUUAAAUUCUGUGUUCUAUUUUCAGAAGGGGGAGGGGGGGAAAUCCCAGAGUCGAGCCCUCAUACCUCAUACAGAAGUUAAUUGAAAAGUUUACAUUGUGACGUUAUGUGACACUCCCACUUAUGCAGACUGGAACUAUUCACGUUUACUCCCAUUGUAGUCUGGCUGAGCGGAAAUGGACAGCGUCUAUUGCGCUAGCGUCAGAUUCCACCGCUACUCCUCCCCUUCCGGUUUCUGGCUUUCCCGUAUUGCGCACCGCUGCUGCUUCCCGGGGUUAGCCCCGCCCCUACGAUUAUGAUUGGUUUAAAGAAAUAAAAACAGGCCAGCCCAGUUUCCCCACGGAUAGACGGCUCUAAAUAGCGUGGUUCCAGACCAUUCUACUUGCUGUAGUUUGGUCUGGCUUUGCGAGACUACUCCCAUUGUAAUGUAUUAUGUUGCUCUACCUUGGUCAGUAACUUUGGUCUGACAGUAGUACUUUAAGCUCCAGCCUAGCAUAGAUUAUUGAAUCAGAUUAGCCCAUUAGCAUCUCGCCUGUUAGUAUCUUGCUCAAAAGUGACUAAGAAUUCAAAGAAAAAUUCUAAUUAAAACUUGAUCCUUCUGUAGUUGCAAAGAGUACAAAGACAGUGGAUAAUGAAAUGUGGCGAUUUUCUAUUCCUAUAAAACAUGGAACUAUACUCUCAUUCCAGCAUAGUAAAUUAGGACAUUUGCUGACACAUCUGAAAAUAGUCCCUCCAUGUGUUAAAAGGAUUAUCAGGAGUGAAUCAACCCGUAGCCCUGUUGUUUGAGGCUGCCGGGUGCUGUCAAUAGGUAUCAGAACGACAGCAAUAGUUACAACGUAGACCAGAUGCGGGCAUAGGAAAACGAAACUCACAUGCCCUCAGUAGUUAGCGUUGGCUGCCGUUUCGCUAUUUGGUCUACCGUGCAUGGAAUUCUGUCGUUCUCAUGCCUAUCGACAGCACUUGGCAAUGCGAAACAACAGGGCUACAGGUUGAUUCACUCCGCAUAAUCCCUUUAAGUCAAGUAGUGCAAACCACGGUAUUGAUCACCAUGUUCAUUCUCUGUUGGUACACUUUGUAAUUACUGAAGUAUUACACAGGGAAAAUAUCAGAUUUCUUAGUUACGUUUGAGCAAGAUGCUAAUGGGCGAGAUAAUGGUCUAAUCUGAUUCAAUGAUCUAUGCUUGGCUGGAGCCAAAAAUGCUACCGUCAGACUCAGAACGGCUGAAUGAACUGGAGAAAGGUCAAUCUCAAUUAGGCUACUUAACUCGAGGGAAAGUGGAAACUGGUGUAAUUCCCCAAAUGGUGACGUAUCCCUUUAAUUCUACCCUAACAUAAAGUGGACCUAUUUAAAGGAGCUAGGUGGAAUUCUGUCUUGUCUUGUAUGCUGCCACAUAACAAUACAAUAAGCAUUUCAACUCAUAGCACUGUUGUGAACACACAUUUUUAUGUACCGUCCAUAAUGUAGUUUUUCUUUAUGAUUUGCUCCUUGCAGCCCGUGGCCCUUUUGAAGUGAUAAGAAGAUACAAGAAGGUCCUGAAAGCAUACAAUCGGGGCUUGAAAUUGUCGGCUUCCUGUGCAUACGCAGGGGUGAACGAACUCACAGUCAGGUCCACGGCAAGCAUUGCAGAGCUGGCAACAGCGUCACCUGCCGAGUUCACAAAGCUCCUCGAUAAAACCAAACAGGGAAAGCUGAAAGAUGUAGCAAAUUUAUGCGAAAACUACAUUAAAGGUGAUGCUCAGGUUCAGACAAAAAUAGAUGACUUAAAAAGUCAAUGCAAAUUAAUCCCGUAUGCAAAGAGAGCAUAAUUAU